UACGGAGGGUGCGAGCGUUGUCCGGAAUCAUUGGGCGUAAAGGGCGCGUAGGUGGCCCGGUCAGUUCGUGGUGAAAGCGCGGGGCUCAACCCUGCGUCGGCCAUGAAUACUGCCGCGGCUGGAGCACUGUAGAGGCAGGCGGAAUUCCGGGGUGUAGCGGUGGAAUGCGUAGAGAUCCGGAAGAACACCGGUGGCGAAGGCGGCCCGCUGGGCCAGGAAGACGACCGCAAGGUGUCGGCUGACGCUGAGGCGCGACAGCGUGGGGGAGCAAACAGGAUUG
rnacentral:rRNA from 1 species